rnacentral:rRNA from 1 species
UGGGGAAUAUUGGACAGUGGGGGCAACCCUGAUCCAGCAAUGCCGCGUGUGUGAAGAAGGUCUUCGGAUUGUAAAGCACUUUCGACGGGGACGAUGAUGACGGUACCCGUAGAAGAAGCCCCGGCUAACUUCGUGCCAGCAGCCGCGGUAAUACGAAGGGGGCUAGCGUUGCUCGGAAUGACUGGGCGUAAAGGGCGUGUAGGCGGUUUACACAGUCAGAUGUGAAAUCCCCGGGCUUAACCUGGGAGCUGCAUUUGAUACGUGUAGACUAGAGUGUGAGAGAGGGUUUGUGGAAUUCCCAGUGUAGAGGUGAAAUUCG